rnacentral:rRNA from 1 species
UACGUAGGGUGCGAGCGUUGUCCGGAAUUAUUGGGCGUAAAGAGCUCGUAGGCGGUUUGUUGCGUCUAUCGUGAAAACCUGCAGCUUAACUGUGGGCUUGCGGUCGAUACGGGCAUCACUGGAGUUCGGCAGGGGAGACUGGAAUUCCUGGUGUAGCGGUGAAAUGCGCAGAUAUCAGGAAGAACACCCGUGGCGAAGGCGGCUCUCUGGGACGGUACUGACGCUGAGACGCGAAAGCGUGGGGAGCGAACAGG